rnacentral:rRNA from 2 species
UUGACCUCAAAUCAGGUAGGACUACCCGCUGAACUUAAGCAUAUCAAUAAGCGGAGGAAAAGAAACUAACAAGGAUUCCCCUAGUAACUGCGAGUGAAGAGGGAAAAGCUCAAAUUUAAAAUCUGGCAGCUUCGCUGUCCGAGUUGUAAUUU